rnacentral:lncRNA from 1 species
UGUUUCAUCGAUGAUUUAUUUUACGAAAAUUAUGAAAUUAAUUGUGCGUGUACAUGUUUCUGUUAGCUUCGUUUUGAUAUAUGGUAUGCAUAAAUCGGAAUUUUAUUGAUCAAGUUAUGAACGGUUUUCUGAAACUGCACGAUUUCUGAGUCAUCUAUGAAUUAUGUGUUAAAUUAGAUUUUAUCUUGUUCCGAUUCAUGCGAUUCCAACUGUAUAUGAUUAUAGACUUAUAAAUCUGAUUCUUCGUGAAAUUUCA